rfam:Anopheles arabiensis strain DONG5_A unplaced genomic scaffold supercont1.6, whole genome shotgun sequence.
AAAACUUCUCGGCCUGAAAGCUAAGAUCAAAGUGUAGUAUCUGUUCUUUUGACCUAAAAAUCUGGUAGAUCUCUGAUAGGGAGACAACAAGUGCUACUAAUGAUGAAACUAAU